CUCUGUGUCAGUGAAACAUUCACAUCUGCUGUUUUUAUGCAGAUCAUGGCUAAGAUGCUUCUCUAAGCAACUGAAUGCAGAUGGUCUGCUUCAUGGCAUGAAGCUGGCCAUCACACUGUGAAAGCCUAGUCAGACUUUGGUACAGCGUUGAGCAAAGGAAGAGUGCUCUACUUGUGCUCUGCAGGCACUGCAGUUGCUGUGACACCAGCCCAUACUUAGGUUCUACACCCAUUACAUGCAGUAAUAGUGGCUGGUGCCUGCCCUGGCCUUACUCAGAAGCUGUAUUUACUACAUGGGUAAAUUCCUCAUGGGGUUAAGCAGCCCCUGAGAAAUGUUAGCCAACACAAGACGGUGGAAAGGAAAAAGUGAAUCUCUUACUCUUUUGUUCUCCUCGGUCCUAAGAAAGUGUAAAUAGCUCUGGGAAAUUCUGUUUUCCACAUCACGAGAGUAUUCUGUAUUUUUUCUACCUCAUUUUUAGCACUGAUUUUUUUUCUCCCUUUCUUAUACUGAUAUAUAAAUGUGUAUAUAUUUUGUCCCACUGUCUGAUCAAUCUUCAGCUUACUAGAGUCAUGAAAUUCAUUAAAAAUACUAUCAGUGACACUUGGAUUGUAAGCAUUAAACAUAUAGUUUCAAUUGAGAUUGUUUCUAGAGAUGCAUCAUGUUCUACAUUGUUUACCAGCUAAAAUGAAACAUGGAGAGGGGAAUUAAUCCUUAGUUCCCCACGUGUAAACCUCAGUAAGCUGUCCAAACACCUGUGAUUACAUAGCAGAAGAUUUUUAGGCUUUGAUUUGAUUGUUUUCUUCUUUUCUAGACACUGUAGGAGGAAUUGGGAAAUGGGGUGUUUCAGGGUGUUAUUUGUGGAACUUGCAAGAAAUGAGUGGAAUUCCUGCAGCAGAGAAGAGCCUUGACUUGAGAGAAAUGGUAUCUCACCGGAAGCAUUCCUAAAGGUUACUUCUGUUUUUAGUAAGAGCUAUGACGUGUUAAAGACUGAUCAGAGAUGUCCUUCUCCAGGAAGUACCGACAUGACAUUGGAAAACUCACAGUCUGGAAAACAAAG
ensembl:lncRNA